rnacentral:rRNA from 1 species
UCGAGAAUAAUUCACAAUGGGGGCAACCCUGAUGGUGCAACGCCGCGUGGAGGAUGACGGUCUUCGGAUUGUAAACUCCUGUCAUCCGGGAGUAAGACCUGGCUGUGAAUAGCAGACAGGGUUGAUAGUACCGGAAGAGGAAGGGACGGCUAACUUCGUGCCAGCAGCCGCGGUAAUACGAAGGUCCCAAGCGUUGUUCGGAAUCACUGGGCGUAAAGGGUGCGUAGGCGGUUAGGUAAGUCAGAUGUGAAAUCCCGGGGCUCAACCCCGGAACUGCAUCCGAUACUGCUUGACUUGAGGACUGGAGAGGUGACUGGAAUUCUCGGUGUAGCAGUGAAAUGCGUGGAGAUCGAGAGGAACACUCGUGGCGUAAGCGAGUCACUGGACAGUAUCUGACGCUGAGGCACGAAGGCCAGGGUAGCGAAA